GAUGAGCGGUGGUGUAAUGGGUAAGCACGUGGGUUGACACCCUGAAGUUCUCGGUUCGAAUCCGGGCCCCAUCA